GAAUGACUUUAUAGGUCUCAUAGGUGGGUGAACUUGGAAAAGAAGCAAAGUAGCCAACUUUCUCAAGUUUUGAUGGCUAUUUGUGCCCUACUGAUGCAUGUGAAAAGUUUUGAUGAGUUUGGCCAUAGCCUUUCAUCAGCUGAACAGGUCACUUUCCUGCUGCAAUAUUUUCUGAAUAGGCCUUAGUUUUUGUCCAUGGAUUAGUUUCACUUUGAAGCAUUUUAUCAUCACUUUGAGUAGUGGACUGUAAAAGAUUCUCCACUAUCAUAAAUUUGCAGAAGGAUGGGGAGGAAUGCAUGAGUUAAUUAUCUAAUGUAUAUCUUUUAUCUCUGUAGUGGCUAUUUGAGCCACUACCGGAAUGACUUUAUAGGUCUCAUAGGUGGGUGAACUUGGAAAAGUAGCCAACUUUCUCAAGGGUCUUUUUAGCCCUACUGAUGCAUGUGAAAAGUUUUGAUGAGUUUGGCCGUAGCCUUUCAUUAGCUGAACAGUUCACUUUCCUGCUGCAAUAUUUUCUGAAUAUGCCUUAGUUUUUGUCCAUGGAUUAGUUUCGCUUUGAAGCAUUUUAUCAUCUUUGACAUACAUCUAAAUUAUGGACCAUACUGAUGUCAGGGAAAGGGCAAAUUUUGUUCCUACUCUUAGGACAAUGGAUAUUAUGAUAUUUGCUUCCACGGCAUUCCCUAAAGAAAUGUUAUCAUAGAUCUGGGGAUUCUCAACAACAAAAGAAUUUUUGCCAGUUCAAGUAUAAGACAAGUUUCUACAUGGGCUGUCAGCUUCUUUCAGCAGGAAAUCUGAGAGAAGAUUUUCCAUGGCCUGUCAACUUCAAUCUCAGGCACCAAAUCCAACUAGGGUCUGAUUUAGACCUCUUCUCUGUUGGACUCUGAUACCAGGAUACUGAGCAUCUGUCACUAAAGGACUAGCCUAAAGAAAAAAAGAAGCUAUGUAUCAUUUCCUCUAUAUCUUCCAAGUUAUCUUGUUUCUCCCAAUCCUCAGCCAUUUCUUCAAGUCAGAAACUGGUGAAGAGAAGGGAUCCAAUGUGGUGUACCAUACCACACUCUGUACCACUCACUUUGGUCGAGUGAGGUUUCAAGUCUUAUAGUGCUCCAAAUAUCAGCGAGACAUAUAUCAUGGCAUGUUGCAGCUCAUGGAAGCAACUUCUUGUGGAGAACUCAUCCCUCAGCCUCUACCCUCAUGUCUGAAGUAUGCAAUCAUGUCUCUGGACCAUCUAUGCUGCGGUCUUUGAGAGGACAAGGUUAUCAUCACCUUUGACUUUGACGAGGCUUCUCGCACAUUUCAUGCAAGGCCUGGAGAACAAAAUCCCAUCCCUGUGGUGAACUUAAGGGAAGAUGCUAUUCUCUUUCACCUUCCAAACCCAAAAUGAAAUGAUCUUGAGAGAGCAUUUGGCAGUCUUGUGGUGGUCUUCUGACUUUACUUUCACAAAGUUGCAUAUGAUUGAAGAAAGAAAGAAAAACUCUUCCACCUUAUGGAUGGAUAACUUUGGAUAUGGUUUCUAUCCACAAGAAAGCAUCUGGAGCUUGAGUUCCCUGUAAGGCUUUUCUUCUCUUUACACAACUUGCAUACCUCUUUCUUCCCCCUUUCAAACAAUAGCCAAUUUAUAUUUUAUAUUUCAGAAAAUCUAGCAUGUUUUUAAUCAUUUCUAAGGUCAGUCACCUCUUUAUAUCCUUAUACUUUUAUAAACCUUUAUCUACUUGAAUGCUAGAUGCCAUGUUACAGAUGCUUGUGCA